rnacentral:rRNA from 1 species
GACGAACGCUGGCGGCGUGCUUAACACAUGCAAGUCGAACGGAAAGGCCCUGCUUGCAGGGUACUCGAGUGGCGAACGGGUGAGUAACACGUGGGUGAUCUGCCCUGCACUUCGGGAUAAGCCUGGGAAACUGGGUCUAAUACCGGAUAGGAGCCAUUUUUAGUGUGAUGGUUGGAAAGUUUUUUCGGUGUAGGAUGAGCUCGCGGCCUAUCAGCUUGUUGGUGGGGUAAUGGCCUACCAAGGCGGCGACGGGUAGCCGGCCUGAGAGGGUGGACGGCCACAUUGGGACUGAGAUACGGCCCAGACUCCUACGGGAGGCAGCAGUGGGGAAUAUUGCACAAUGGGCGCAAGCCUGAUGCAGCGACGCCGCGUGGGGGAUGACGGCCUUCGGGUGGUAAACUCCUUUCGCUAGGGACGAAGCUUUUUGUGACGGUACCUAGAUAAGAAGCACCGGCUAACUACG